GACAGAGGGUGCAAACGUUGUUCGGAUUUACUGGGCGUAAAGCGUGUGUAGGCGGCUUCGCAAGUUGGAUGUGAAAUCCCACGGCUCAACCGUGGACGUGCAUCCAAAACUGCGUCGCUAGAGUCUCGGAGAGGAAGGUGGAAUGCUUGGUGUAGAGGUGAAAUUCGUAGAUAUCAAGCAGAACACCUGCGGCGAAGGCGGCUCUGGACGAUGACUGACGCUGAGACACGAAAGCGUGGGGAGCAAACAGG
rnacentral:rRNA from 1 species